rnacentral:rRNA from 1 species
GAUGAACGCUAGCGGCAGGCCUAAUACAUGCAAGUCGAACGGUGUCUUCGGACAUAGUGGCGCACGGGUGCGUAACACGUAUGCAACCUACCUUACAUUGGGGGAUAGCCUUUCGAAAGGGAGAUUAAUACCGCAUAAGACAGUAACUAGGCAUCUAGUAGCUGUUAAAGAUUUAUCGAUGUAAGCUGGGCAUGCGACCAAUUAGCUUGUUGGUGAGGUAAUGGCUCACCAAGGCUAUGAUUGGUAGGGGAACUGAGAGGUCAAUCCCCCACACUGGCACUGAGAUACGGGCCAGACUCCUACGGGAGGCAGCAGUAGGGAAUAUUGGGCAAUGGACGCAAGUCUGACCCAGCCAUGCCGCGUGCAGGAUGAAGGCGUUAUGCGUUGUAAACUGCUUUUAUACAGGAAGAAACGACUCUUGCGAGAGGCAUUGACGGUACUGUAUGAAUAAGCACCGGCUAACUCCGUGCCAGCAGCCGCGGUAAUACGGAGGGUGCAAGCGUUGUCCGGAUUUAUUGGGUUUAAAGGGUGCGCAGGUGGUUUAUUAAGUCAGUGGUGAAAGACGGUCGCUCAACGAUUGCAGUGCCAUUGAAACUGGUAGACUUGAGUAAAGUAGAGGUGGGCGGAAUUGAUAGUGUAGCGGUGAAAUGCAUAGAUAUUAUCAAGAACUCCAAUUGCGUAGGCAGCUCACUUGGCUUUUACUGACACUCAUGCACGAAAGUGUGGGUAUCAAACAGGAUUAGAUACCCUGGUAGUCCACACUGUAAACGAUGAUAACUAGGUGUCGGCCGAAUCUGGUCGGUGCCACAGCGAAAGCGUUAAGUUAUCCACCUGGGGAGUACGCCGGCAACGGUG